GGUGAGUAACGCGUGAGAAUCUGGCUCUAGGUUCGGGACAACCACUGGAAACGGUGGCUAAUACCGGAUGUGCCGAGAGGUGAAAGGUUAACUGCCUGGAGAUGAGCUCGCGUCUGAUUAGCUAGUUGGUGGUGUAAGGGACUACCAAGGCGACGAUCAGUAGCUGGUCUGAGAGGAUGAUCAGCCACACUGGAACUGAGACACGGUCCAGACUCCUACGGGAGGCAGCAGUGGGGAAUUUUCCGCAAUGGGCGAAAGCCUGACGGAGCAAUACCGCGUGAGGGAGGAAGGCUCUUGGGUUGUAAACCUCUUUUCUCAGGGAAUAAGCAAGUGAAGGUACCUGAGGAAUCAGCAUCGGCUAACUCCGUGCCAGCAGCCGCGGUAAUACGGAGGAUGCAAGCGUUAUCCGGAAUGAUUGGGCGUAAAGCGUCCGUAGGUAGCAGUGUGUGUCUAUUGUUAAAGAGUUUGGCUUAACCAAAUAAAGGCGGUAGAAACUACACAGCUAGAGUGCGUUCGGGGCAGAGGGAAUUCCUGGUGUAGCGGUGAAAUGCGUAGAGAUCAGGAAGAACACCGGUGGCGAAAGCGCUCUGCUAGGCCGCAACUGACACUGAGGGACGAAAGCUAGGGGAGCGAAUGGGAUUAGA
rnacentral:rRNA from 1 species